GCCAUAAAAAUUAGCCCCAAUCUCACUAAUGUGACACAAAAACCUAAUCCAAUCAACUAAAACAUUCUAGCAUCCUAGUAGAGGCGAUUGAAAAAUUACUUGGAGCAAUAUUACUGUACCGCAAGGGAAAAAUGAAAUAAAAAUGAAACAACUAUCAAGCACAAAAAAGUAGAGUUUAUCUCUCGUACCUUUUGCAUCAUGGUUUAACUAGUCUAAUCAAGCAAAACGACUUAAAGUUUGACCUCCCGAAACUAGACGAGCUACUUCAAGGCAGCUUAACGAGCAAACCCGUCUCUGUUGCAAAAGAGUGGGAAGACCUUCAAGUAGAGGUGACAGACCUAACGAGCCUAGUGAUAGCUGGUUACUCAAGAAAAGAAUUUAAGUUCAACCUAAGGUUAACUUAAUAAAACAAAAUAACAGCUAUAACUUUAGAGUAAUUCAAAUAAGGUACAGCCUAUUUGAAAAAGGACACAACCUUAACCACCGGGUAAUUGUUAACCACACCUAAUAAAGUAGGCCUAAAAGCAGCCAUCUUCUAAAAAGCGUCAAAGCUUAAUUAGGUUACUAAUUAAUCCCAACACCACCCAAGAACCCUUAUACAAUAUUGAGUAAUUCUAUACCACUAUAGAAGAUUUUAUGUUAAAACUAGUAACAAGAAGAAGAACUUCUCUUACAAUGCAAGUGUAAAUCAGACAGGACACCCCACUGACAACUAACACCCAUGAACAAAAAGUAGCAACCGAACAAGAAAACCCUACUAUAUCCUGUGUUAAUCUAACACCAGGGCAUUUCAAGAAAGAUUUAAAGAAAGAGAAGGAACUCGGCAAAUAUUAACCUCGCCUGUUUACCAAAAACAUCGCCUCUUGAAAAAUAUAAGAGGUCCAGCCUGCCCAGUGACUCUGUUCAACGGCCGCGGUAUCCUAACCGUGCGAAGGUAGCGUAAUCACUUGUUCUUUAAAUGAGGACUAGUAUGAAUGGCACCACGAAGGUUAUACUGUCUCCUCUUUCUAAUCAGUGAAACUAAUCUCCCCGUGAAGAAGCGAGGAUGAACAUAUAAGACGAGAAGACCCUAUGGAGCUUUAAACCAAGCAACACCUGUUUUGAUUUUCCCAAAUUUAAGAAAAAUCCCACUCACCAUUACAGGAUAAUUGCCAGUUUUAGGUUGGGGUGACCGCGGAGAAUAAAAUAACCUCCACAUUGAAAGGUGAUAUAAUCCUUAGCUAAGAGUCACACCUCUACGCAUCAACAAAAUGACAUUAAUUGACCCAAUAUAUUGAUCAACGAACCAAGUUACCCUAGGGAUAACAGCGCAAUCCACUUCAAGAGCUCCUAUCGACAAGUGGGUUUACGACCUCGAUGUUGGAUCAGGGUAUCCCAGUGGUGCAGCCGCUACUAAAGGCUCGUUUGUUCAACGAUUAAAACCCU
rnacentral:rRNA from 1 species